UUGCUGACGAGUGGCGGACGGGUGAGUAAUGCUUGGGAAUCUGGCUUAUGGAGGGGGAUAACUACUGGAAACGGUAGCUAAUACCGCGUAAUGUCUACGGACUAAAGGGGGCAUUUGCUCCUGCCAUAAGAUGAGCCCAAGUGGGAUUAGGUAGUUGGUGAGGUAACGGCUCACCAAGCCGUCGAUCUCUAGCUGGUCUGAGAGGAUGACCAGCCACACUGGAACUGAGACACGGUCCAGACUCCUACGGGAGGCAGCAGUGGGGAAUAUUGCACAAUGGGGGAAACCCUGAUGCAGCCAUGCCGCGUGAAUGAAGAAGGCCUUCGGGUUGUAAAGUUCUUUCGGUGAUGAGGAAGGUGUGAUGGUUAAUACCCAUCACAAUUGACGUUAGUCACAGAAGAAGCACCGGCUAACUCCGUGCCAGCAGCCGCGGUAAUACGGAGGGUGCGAGCGUUAAUCGGAAUAACUGGGCGUAAAGGGCACGCAGGCGGUUGUUUAAGUGAGGUGUGAAAGCCCCGGGCUCAACCUGGGAAUUGCAUUUCAGACUGGACAACUAGAGUACUUUAGGGAGGGGUAGAAUUCCANGUGUAGCGGUGAAAUGCGUAGAGAUGUGGAGGAAUACCGAAGGCGAAGGCAGCCCCUU
rnacentral:rRNA from 1 species